CGGGGUGUGGCUCAGUGGUAGAGCACCUGCCUAGAAUGCCCCAGUGAGGAUUCAGAGGUAGAGCAUCUGCCUAGUAGGCACAAGGCCUUGGGUUCUAAUCCUAACACCAUAU
rfam:Cricetulus griseus cell line CHO-K1, whole genome shotgun sequence.